rnacentral:rRNA from 1 species
UGCCAGCCGCCGCGGUAAUACGUAGGGUGCAAGCGUUGUCCGGAUUUAUUGGGUUUAAAGGGUGCGCAGGCGGUUCUUUAAGUUCGUGGUGAAAGCCUACAGCUUAACUGUAGAACUGCCAUUGAUACUGUAUGUCUUGAAUUUGAUCGAAGUGGGCGGAAUGUGUAAUGUAGCGGUGAAAUGCUUAGAUAUUACACAGAACACCGAUAGCGAAGGCAGCUCACUAGGUUAUAAUUGACGCUCAUGGACGAAAGCGUGGGGAGCGAACAGGAUUAGAUA